UGAGUGCGAGCUGCUACGGCAGCGAAGUUGGUGACGUCACUCUUCCAAGAAAAGCCCUAUACCCGUUAAGGCAUCAUGGCCUGUACCCGAAACCGACACAGGUGGGGUGGUAGAGAAUACCGAGGGGCGCGAGGUAACUCUCUCUAAGGAACUCGGCAAAAUGACCCCGUAACUUCGGGAGAAGGGGUGCCACCGCAAGGUGGUCGCAGUGAAGAGGCCCAGGCGACUGUUUACCAAAAACACAGGUCUCCGCUAAAUCGCAAGACGAUGUAUGGGGGCUGACGCCUGCCCAGUGCCGGAAGGUUAAGGAAGCUGGUCAGCAUAAGCGAAGCUAGCGACUGAAGCCCCGGUGAACGGCGGCCGUAACGAUAACGGUCCUAAGGUAGCGAAAUUCCUUGUCGGGUAAGUUCCGACCCGCACGAAAGGCGUAACGAUCUGGGCGCUGUCUCGGAGAGAGGCUCGGCGAAAUAGAAUUGUCUGUGAAGAUGCGGACUACGUGCACCCGGACAGAAAGACCCUAUGAAGCUUUACUGUAGCUUGGUAUUGUGCCCGGGCUCUGAACGCGCAUAGGUGGGAGGCUUUGAUCAACAGCUUGCGGGUUGUUGUGAGCCAACGGUGAGAUACCACUCUUUCAGAGCUAGGGUUCUAACAGUCACCCGUUAUCCGGGGACUGGACAGUAUCUGGUGGGCAGUUUGACUGGGGCGGUCGCCUCCUAAAAGGUAACGGAGGCGCGCAAAGGUUUGCUCAGGCUGGUUGGAAAUCAGCCGACGAGUGUAAAAGCAGAAGCAAGCUUGACUGUGAGACCUACAAGUCGAACAGGGAGGAAACUCGGCUUUAGUGAUCCGACGGUUCUGCGUGGAAGGGCCGUCGCUCAACGGAUAAAAGUUACUCUAAGGAUAACAGGCUGAUCUCCCCCAAGAGUUCACAUCGACGGGGAGGUUUGGCACCUCGAUGUCGGCUCAUCGCAACCUGGGGCUGAAGUCGGUCCCAAGGGUUGGGCUGUUCGCCCAUUAAAGCGGUACGCGAGCUGGGUUCAGAACGUCGUGAGACAGUUCGGUCCAUAUCCGGUGCAUGCGCAGGAAUAUUGAGAGGAUUUCUCCCUAGUACGAGAGGACCGGGAGGAACGCACCUCUGGUGUACCAGUUAUCGUGCCAACGGUAAACGCUGGGUAGCCAUGUGCGGAGUGGAUAACCGCUGAAAGCAUCUAAGUGGGAAGCCCACCUCAAGAUGAGUAUUCCCAUGGCGUUAGCCAGUAAGGUCACGGGAAGAACACCCGUUGAUAGGCUCUAUGUGGAAGCGCAGUA
rnacentral:rRNA from 1 species